ACGCUCGACACCUACGGUAGGCAGCAGUGGGGAAUAUUGCACAAUGGGGGAAACCCUGAUGCAGCGACGCCGCGUGGAGGAAGAAGGUCUUCGGAUUGUAAACUCCUGUUGUUGGGGAAAAAGAGGAUGGUACCCAACAAGGAAGUGACGGCUAACUACGUGCUAGCAGCCGCGGUAAUCUGAGCGGGCUGGCAAGGC
rnacentral:rRNA from 1 species